rnacentral:ncRNA from 1 species
AAUGUGUUGGGGCAAACUUCACGAAAGUGAAGGACGCUAAAGUCAUGGGUCUAAAUCAGGGAAUUUGAAAAUGCAUGCAAUACAAAAUGAAUGGAAUCCAAAUGCAUUUCCAGGAUAUUCUGACAGGAUUGCCAGACUACAAGG